rnacentral:lncRNA from 1 species
GGACUUGGGAGCCGGUCAGCAUCCAGCCGAAUCACUGCCUUCACAUUGUAAAUUACAUCUGGAAGGUCCCAAUCCGCAAACAAAGGUAUGUACUACGUAGUACUAACUACUGAGUCACAUAUCUAAAAUCAUCGAUAAUCGUUUGUAAAUCUAAUGCACAAGUACGACAAGUGUAAUUACAUUUUUUUUUCUACUUUUGAUUCAGGAGCCUCCGGCACAACCAGAGGAUGAAGAACAGCUGCACCACGGAGACUAGCAGGAGGACGGCCACCAGUUCGGGUCCGAUGUUCCACUUGUUCUUGGAGCAGUGCUUCCUCCGCCGGUGGCGCCGCCGGGAAGCCAUCCUGCGCAGGUG